ACUCACAGACUGUGAGAUCAUGACCUGAGCCAAAGUCAAGAGCCAACACUUUACUGACUGAGCCGCCCAGCCGCCCCUCCUAUUCCAAAUGUCAUCCACCUUCAUUCACAGGCAACCAAGUGAAAUCUUCUCUAUUAUUCUUCUCCUUUACAGAUGGAGAAACUGAGGCCCAGAGAGGCGAAGGUGAGAUGACCUAUCCAAGGACACAUAGCCAGAAAGGGGCCCGGCUGGGUUUAGAAGAUGUGUGCGAUUUUUCAGAAAAAAAAACGUUGGAAAAUAAAGACUGGAUCCUUGAUGGAUCUGAGUGGCUGCUUAAGUCACAAAAGGAGUUCCUCCUGUCAAGAGGGCACAAUGCCCCCCGUGGAAGUGUUGCCAGGAAAUGGAAAUUGAGAGGCGCCUGGAUGGCUCCGAUGGGUGUGAUAAUGAUUGCAGUUAUUGUUUGUGGCUCGAUCUUUUCAAGAUACGUUUGGAAGUUUUUACAGGGAAAAUGAUGUCUGGGAUUUGCUGCGAAAUUCUCCAGUGGCAGGGAAACGGAUGGCGGUAGAGCUCAAACGUGUUCGGCAGUGGAUACUGGAAACUGCUGAUGUUGGCAGUUAAGUUCGGGUUUGUUUGUUACCUUAUUCUUCCCUAUUUUGCAUGUGCUUUAAACUGUCCGUAAUACAACU